UGGUAACAUUAAGUGUUCAAAACCUGUGGC
rnacentral:piRNA from 1 species